CCUACGGGAGGCAGCAGUGAGGAAUAUUGGUCAAUGGCCGGAAGGCUGAACCAGCCAAGCCGCGUGAGGGACGACGGCCCUAAGGGUUGUAAACCUCUUUUGUCGGGGGACAAAGUGAGGCACGUGUGCCUGAUGGAGAGUACCCGAAGAAAAAGCAUCGGCUAACUCCGUGCCAGCAGCCGCGGUAAUACGGAGGAUGCGAGCGUUAUCCGGAUUUAUUGGGUUUAAAGGGUGCGUAGGCGGACUGUUAAGUCAGCGGUAAAAGCCCGGGGCUCAACCCCGGCGAGCCGUUGAAACUGGCUGUCUUGAGAGGGCGAGAAGUAUGCGGAAUGCGCGGUGUAGCGGUGAAAUGCAUAGAUAUCGCGCAGAACUCCGAUUGCGAAGGCAGCAUACCGGCGCCGAACUGACGCUGAGGCACGAAAGCGUGGGUAUCGAACAGGAUUAGAUACCCGUGUAGUC
rnacentral:rRNA from 1 species